rnacentral:rRNA from 1 species
AGAGUUUGAUCCUGGCUCAGAUUGAACGCUGGCGGCAGGCCUAACACAUGCAAGUCGAGCGGUAGAGAGAAGCUUGCUUCUCUUGAGAGCGGCGGACGGGUGAGUAAUGCCUAGGAAUCUGCCUGGUAGUGGGGGAUAACGUUCGGAAACGGACGCUAAUACCGCAUACGUCCUACGGGAGAAAGCAGGGGACCUUCGGGCCUUGCGCUAUCAGAUGAGCCUAGGUCGGAUUAGCUAGUUGGUGGGGUAAUGGCUCACCAAGGCGACGAUCCGUAACUGGUCUGAGAGGAUGAUCAGUCACACUGGAACUGAGACACGGUCCAGACUCCUACGGGAGGCAGCAGUGGGGAAUAUUGGACAAUGGGCGAAAGCCUGAUCCAGCCAUGCCGCGUGUGUGAAGAAGGUCUUCGGAUUGUAAAGCACUUUAAGUUGGGAGGAAGGGCCGUUACCUAAUACGUGAUGGUUUUGACGUUACCGACAGAAUAAGCACCGGCUAACUCUGUGCCAGCAGCCGCGGUAAUACAGAGGGUGCAAGCGUUAAUCGGAAUUACUGGGCGUAAAGCGCGC